rnacentral:rRNA from 1 species
UACGUAGGGGGCAAGCGUUGUCCGGAAUCAUUGGGCGUAAAGAGCGUGUAGGCGGCCCGGUAAGUCCGCUGUGAAAGUCGAGGGCUCAACCCUCGAAUGCCGGCGGAUACUGUCGGGCUAGAGUCCGGAAGAGGCGAGUGGAAUUCCUGGUGUAGCGGUGAAAUGCGCAGAUAUCAGGAGGAACACCUACGGCGAAGGCAGCUCGCUGGGACGGUACUGACGCUGAGACACGAAAGCCAGGGGAGCAAACGGG